CUCCGACUAUCAAAAUUUUAACCAUUUUAGUCCUCCGGUGACUUGGAUGACAUAUUUUGAGGGAUAUUAUUGGAAGUUCACUAGCACCGUCGGGCUUUUUC